ACCUGGCUGGCUCAGUCAGUAGAGCAUAUGAUUCUUGAUCUUGGAGAUGUGAGUUCAAGCCCCACAUCAGGGA
rnacentral:tRNA from 1 species